AGAUUAGCAAAAAAGAAAAAUGAACGUUAACCACGGAGAUGAAACUGAAGUUAACCACGGAGAUGAAACUGAAGUUGACAAUGAUGGGGAAGAUGAAAUUUAUCAUAAGCGACCUGAUAAAG
rnacentral:lncRNA from 1 species